rnacentral:rRNA from 1 species
AUUGAACGCUGGCGGCAGGCCUAACACAUGCAAGUCGAACGGUAACAGGAAGCAGCUUGCUGCUUUGCUGACGAGUGGCGGACGGGUGAGUAAUGUCUGGGAAACUGCCCGAUGGAGGGGGAUAACUACUGGAAACGGUAGCUAAUACCGCAUAACGUCGCAAGACCAAAGAGGGGGACCUUAGGGCCUCUUGCCAUCGUAUGUGCCCAGAUGGGAUUAGCUAGUAGGUGGGGUAACGGCUCACCUAGGCGACGAUCCCUAGCUGGUCUGAGAGGAUGACCAGCCACACUGGAACUGAGACACGGUCCAGACUCCUACGGGAGGCAGCAGUGGGGAAUAUUGCACAAUGGGCGCAAGCCUGAUGCAGCCAUGCCGCGUGUAUGAAGAAGGCCUUCGGGUUGUAAAGUACUUUCAGCGGGGAGGAAGGGAGUAAAGUUAAUACCUUGGCUUAUUGACGUUACCCGCAGAAGAAGCACCGGCUAACUCCGUG